rnacentral:lncRNA from 1 species
AUAGUAACCAAUUUUUUUUUGGGUUUUCGACUAUUUUGUCAUUUCGUAACUAGUUUUUCAUCGAAUUUUUUAUUUUUUUUUGGCCCAAUUUUAGGCCCAAUGUCGGGCCCGUUACAGUUAUCAAUCAGGGAGCUGUCAGAGUAUGGGUGUUGAAUUGUGAUUCGUUUUCAAGGGAGGGGGCAGCCCUUUUGUUCAUUUAAAAGGACAACCAAUAUUUUUUUGAAAGGACGGGGGACGAAGAAGAAAAGAUCUAUCGAUUACAACAAAAAACUCCCCCGAUUGUCCCCCAAAAUCCCAAAAUCUCAUUGCACCCUGAAUUCACAACACCCCAAUCUCACUAAACCUAUCACAAAACAAUAAUAAGACAUUACAGUCCCAGAAAGAAACAAAAAAAAAACAGAACGGAGAAAAGAGACCAAGAUUGGAAAGUGUUGAAUGCGCUAGAGUAGGCGCUUCCGUUAAACUCCCGAGACCCACUGAACCCCAAAAUUCCUGGAACAAGAAAUAGAAGUUUAGUGCACACCACCGAAACUUUGAAGAACAAACGCUAACAGUAAAAGGUCGGUACUCCAAAACGAACCCUUUUCCGAUUCAUGAUCAUUUACAUGUCAUUCAUAUUCUGUUUCAACACUUAUCAAUAUACUUCCUAGGUUUAUAUGCUAUAUUGCCUGUUUUGUUAUCACUUAAAUUGCUCCUAACUUGAUAUUCACAACUAGUAAAUGGUUAAAUAGCCAGAUUAUACAAACAAUGAAUUCAAAAGUAAAAUGUAACUUUUUCGUUCAAAAUAGACUAUUGGAAAAACAGAUUAACAGUGGAUUAAACAACCUCCUAUUACCAUUUUCAUAUAGUGUACACAGAGAACUCAAGAACUACAAGGCUACUCAUAAAAAUCGAGCUAAAAUAAGUGCUUUUUGUUAAAUGUGAAUGUUGAAAUGUUCAUAAAAGUGACAAAAUAAUUAGUUUUUCAAUCGGAAAAUCAUUUUCCUAACACUUACAUUACUAGUUUAGUCUUAAUAACCACGAUAGUCAAGUUUUCAUAUUUUACGCAACUCAAUCAACCAAUGACAGAAUCGCUACUAUCUACCGAGCAAAAUUAGAACAAUUAGAGUUUAGGUGUUUUACCUUCCUAAAAGGUUGUCUUCUCUCUUAUUCGCACUUUUGUUGGUUUCCUCUGGUGAGUCAGGUCACCGUCUCCCCUUUCCUCACCACCGAUUUCGAGCACCGUAUAAAAAAGAAAAAAAGAACAAAAAAAACAGCAAGUAAGAAAAGAGAAAAAAAAACAAGAUUCAAACCCUAAAUUUGUAGAUCGGGGAUUGCAUGUUGUUGGACGACUCACUAAAGACAUCCUCUGAUGACAUCAAAGCCCAAAUCCGGCUAAAAUCGAGAAGAUAAAAGGAAGGGAAGUAGAUCUACGUUUUUGUUUAUUUGUUGUCACGGUUGAGGGAGAGGUAGCGGCGGUGCCGCCGCAGCCGCCAUCGCUGUGGACGUCGUCAAAAUAGAGAGGAAAGAAAAAAGAAGAAGAAGAAGAAGAAAAAAAAGAAAAAAAAUAAGAAGAAUUAGAAGAAAAAAGAAGAGGAGAAGCGGUGGCCGCGCCGCCGCCACUAGAGAGGAGAGGAAAGAGGGGAGAAGGAAAAAAGGAACGAGAAGAAGAGAGGAAGAAUGAGGAAAAAAGAAGGAAAAAGGGAGGAGAAGGAGGCGAAGAAGAGAAAAAGAGGGAAAAAAAGGGAGAAGA